GCAGCAUCUUCAUCGGGAUGCUAGUGUCCUUGCAGAAGACCCUCCUGAAGGUUGAUCUGAUUUCUUCUUCAGAUCUGAAAGACUGUCUUCAAUCUUAAAGAAGACUUGUAGGAGGAUGAUGAAGAGAGACUCCUCUCUUUUUCUCUUAAAAGCAUACACAAGAGAACAAAGAAAAACGCUAGGAGAAGAACCCUUCUUCUCCUUUUUUUUCUUUUUUUUUCUCACUUUUUCUCAUGCCAAA
rnacentral:lncRNA from 1 species